GCGAGAGCAAAGGCAUGGAGAGAGAGAGCAAAAUAGGGAGAGGGAGGGGGCUCGGGCUCGAGCGCGCUCAAAAGGGCAAGCCCAUGGGGGGAACGUGGGGGAAGGAGUGGGAGUGGCCGCAGUUGCAGCCUUCCAGCGAGAGGGGAGGAGACGGUUGCUGGAGGUGGGGGGAGGAACUGACGGGUGGGUCCCGCUCGUCAGCCGCUGGAGAGAGAGGAGGGGGGUGCGAGGCGCUGGCGGGCUGAGUGGCGUGAGCGGGCCGGCCUGAGGGAGGUGGGAGUUGGGCCGCAACUAGACCACGAGGCCAAAAGCUGAGAGAGAGGGAGAUCCAUCUUUUCUUUUCUUUUUUUUUCCAAAACCAAUUUGAAUCAUUUUCAAAAGCAUUUAAAUUCCUUUCAACUUUGGUCACAACCACACAUCACAAAAAUAAAAUGCUACAGC
rnacentral:lncRNA from 1 species